rnacentral:rRNA from 1 species
GAGCGGCGAACGGGUGAGUAACACGUGAGCAACCUGCCCCAAGCUUUGGGAUAACCCUCGGAAACGGGGGCUAAUACCGAAUAUUACCGUCGGCCGCAUGGCUGGUGGUGGAAAGUUUUUCGGCUUGGGAUGGGCUCGCGGCCUAUCAGCUUGUUGGUGGGGUGAUGGCCUACCAAGGCGACGACGGGUAGCCGGCCUGAGAGGGCGACCGGCCACACUGGGACUGAGACACGGCCCAGACUCCUACGGGAGGCAGCAGUGGGGAAUAUUGCACAAUGGGCGGAAGCCUGAUGCAGCGACGCCGCGUGAGGGAUGACGGCCUUCGGGUUGUAAACCUCUUUCAGCAGGGACGAAGCGAGAGUGACGGUACCUGCAGAAGAAGCACCGGCCAACUACGUGCCAGCAGCCGCGGUAAGACGUAGGGUGCGAGCGUUGUCCGGAUUUAUUGGGCGUAAAGAGCUCGUAGGCGGCUUGUCGCGUCGACCGUGAAAACUUGGGGCUCAACCCCAAGCCUGCGGUCGAUACGGGCAGGCUAGAGUUCGGUAGGGGAGACUGGAAUUCCU